rnacentral:lncRNA from 1 species
AUGAGAAAAGAUUGUCUGGGUCCAAAUACUUAGCAGGUGAAUGCUUCACCUUGGCAGAUCUGCAUCACCUUCCUAACAUUUUCUACUUGAUGAACUCACAGAGCAAGAAGCUGUUUGAAUCAAGGCCUCAUGUGAAUGCUUGGGUGGCUGAUAUCACAGCAAGACCAGCUUGGUCUAAGGUCCUAGCCAUGUUACCUCCUAAGCCGUGAAUACUGAACAGUGAGGAAGAACUUUCGGGAUUGAUGGUAUUGUUGGAUGUUCUCUGAGACCUCAAAGAUGGCAUUUAAGAAGUACUUUUGCUUUUGUGGGUUGUACCAUGAAUUUACUUGCUUUUGUUAAGUCUUAAUAAUGUAUUGUGUGUUAAGGGGACAGAAUUCUCUGUCCCGUUUGGUGUUUUUCCUCUCCUAUUAAUAAAAAUGUGCCAUGUUAUUUUAAAACCACAAAUAUAAGAUUUAUUGUCAUAUCGUUUACACGUCAAAUAAACAUAAAAGAUUAAUCUGGUGACUUUUAUGAGGUCUUCUUUGAGCUCUUUAAGCUCAACAGUCUACAAGCAAUAUGAUUGUGUGUCUUUAAGCUUGAAAAACACCAGCUUCUUUUUAUCUUCAAGCAUUCACCUAGAUUAAAAUGAUUUAGAUAGUGCUUGUAUUGUGUAGAGUUCAAGUUAAAAAACAACUCAAACUAUUUGGUGAUAACUUGAAGAAACAAUCCUUCUUUAAGCUCUGAUACAAAUGCAUGCCAAAGUUUGAAAAGUAAAUAAGAAAAUAAAAAAGUUGCGCAUCCAGGGAAUCGAACCCUGGUCAGUACCGUGGGAGGGUACUAUGAUACCACUACACCAGAUGCGCUGUUGUUUAAAUGAUUGAUCGUGAAAUUAUUUAUUUACUUGUUUAGAAAAAGGGUUUUAUCUAUAUAUGAUGUAGAAAGCUAAAGUAAUGAGACCUGUAAUUUGAUUCUUCCGAAACAUAAUCCAAGAAGACAUUUAAGCCAAACUUUGCAAGGGGGGUGUUAUCUAUAUAUAAUAUAGAAAGCUAAAGUAAUGAGACCUAGAUAAAGGAAAAUGUUGUGUUUUUUAUUCUUCUUUUGCAUUUUGGAUAUACAGUGUGGGCGCGAAUUUCUUGGUGGGGAUGAAGAUGGAAAGAAUAAGGAGAACAUUGAUGAUCAUUCAAGCAUAUUCAUGAUAUUUCUUUAUUUGAUGAAAUCCGAAAAUCUGAAAUUUGAUAUCUAAAGAAGUUUGUGAAUUUAAUUGGAUUUGGAAUUUGAUUGAAUCUGUCUGUAAAUCUUCUAAAUUAUUAUUUUUGUUUUAUUUUUAAUAAUAAGAGAAAAUAUAUUACACUUUUACCCUUUUAAAAUACAACGUGUGGUAAAAUUGGAGUCAGAAUAUUUUUUAUGUUAAUUUUAGAAUUGUUUUGCAUUAAUUUUUUAAACCACAAAAAAUAAUUUUAUAAUUAUAACUUAAAGUUUCAAUAACAUGUGAUGCACCGCCACCACCCUUCUCUAUCACCACCACUACGGCUACUUAUGUUGCCACCCUUUGUCAUUGUCACCACUGCUAACCUCCUAUAUCGUCGCCACCACCACCGACAUUACCACUACCACCAUUACCGCCAACACAACCAACCAUUGCCACAAUCACCACCACCACUACUACCUUUGGCAUCACCUUCUGUCACUACCAUCGCCACCAACCUUCACCAUCAAUGUCGUUGCCACCAUUGUUGUUGUCGCUUCCACCACCAACACUAACACUACCAUCUCACCAAAAACAACCACUGCCAUAGUUACGCCACUCCAUUGUCGUCUCACCAUAGUUGCCACAACCAUCAUCACCAAAUUCCACCAUUGUCGUCGCCAUCACUCUUCUGCCCUUGACCACCACCACCACCACAAUCAACCACCAUCAUGACGUUAGCCUGCACCACCAGCAACACUUAUUGUCACCACCAUUAGGUGACAUUCACCACCAUCACUGCCACAAGUAAUUUAUAAAACUGAAAAUUAGUUUUAGUUUGGAAAGGCAAAACUAAAACAAGCCCAAACAUAGGCUUAGGGUUAUGGGCUAAGUGAAAAAAAAAAACACUUUUAAACUUUUCCUUAGUUAAGCAUCUACGUAAUAUGCUUCCAAACGAGUUCUUAUUUAAGCAGCUAUGCUUUAUGAGCUUUUAGUAUAAAAAACAUUUUUUCUCUGAUCCAAAUUACUUUAUGAGUUUUGUUUUAUUGCUUUAUGAAGAUCAAGGUUAUUUGGAAGAGUUUCCCUUACACUGUGGACCAAUUCAGUAGGGAUUUUUGCAACAUAAAAAUACAUAAGCAAGAAACCAGACAUCGUGUUGUAGUGUGGUCACCUCCGAACAGGGGAACUCUCAAAUUUAAUGUUGACGGGGCCUCACAAGGUAACACGGGUCUGUGUAGAGUGGGGGGUGUUCUCAGGGAUUUCAGAAACCUCAUCCUUGACUUCUUUUCCAUCAAUAUGGGUUAUAGCUGGGCGUACGAAGCCGAGGUAAAAGCUAUCUUGAUAGCUUUGAUGUUUUGUCAACAACAUGGGUUCAAAGACAUAUUGAUAGAAAGUGACUCUACGCUGGUUGUGGGAUGGGUAUUGACUAAAACAAACCGUCCAUGGAAAAUUCUAAAUGAUCUGAAUCAUAUAGAUAUGUUGUUGUUAGAGGUUCAUUGCCUGGGGGUGCAUCAUGUCUACAGAGAAGCAAAUAGUUCCGCGGAUACUCUUGCGAAAUCUGGGGUAAAUAGAUCGACAAAUCUCUGGUGGUGCUCCAGUUAUGCUCGGUGAUCUUGCUGCGUUUGGUGUGCGCUUUCAUCUUCCUUUGGUGCUGCUUGCGGGUGCCUUGUUUUUAUUAGAUGUGCUUCUCAUUUUUCCCCUGCCUCUCUGUGUUUUUUAUGCGUUCUCUACUAGUCUUAGUUUCUUGUUUUAUGUUUGUUACUUUCUAUUUCUGUUAUUUGUCUUCUGUUACUUUGUUGACUUUCCUGCACAAUCUUUUUAAUAUAUAUAUAUAUAUAUAUAGUGUAGGGAUACCAAAUGAAUAAUGCUAAUAACUGGAAAUUAAGAACUUGUAGUUGGAGCGAAAUAUGCAAAAGUUGUUUAAGAGUUGCUUAAACAUAUGGAGCAGAACGGGCCAACAUGAAUAGUGUUUAAGAACUCACCUCUAAGAACUAGUUCUUACUUUUAGUUCUUAGAGCAUCUCCAACUAGUUGUUAAAGCAUCUCCAAUGCUAGUUCUUAGUUCUUAGCACUAUUCAUGUGGGCCUGUACUGCCACAUGUGCUUGAGCAACUAUUUGCAGAUUUUGCUCCAACCAUGGGUUCUUAGUUCUUAACACUAUUCAUCCGGUCUCACAAUACCAUUAUAUUAAUAUUUUUUAUUUCCAUAUAAUUUUAAUUUAAAUUUAAAUGUUUAUUCAAUACUUAAAUUAAAUGAAUGAGAGAAAAAAUAAUAAUUUUCUAUGCUAAGAAAUCAAAAAAGUAAAACAUUUUAUAUAAGAGCAUCUCCAAUGGGAGUGUCUCUUGUCUAAGACACUUGAAGAUGAGUAUCUCACCCCAUUAGAGCAAAUGAGAUCUCUAGGCUGUAAAAAAUUAGUGUCUACAACCAAACAUUAUGUCUCUUCAAAUUGUGCACAAAAAACAAAAAAGUUAUUAUUAUUAUACCGAAGUAAAAGUGUUUUGGUGUUGACUGUGGGGUCUACUAGAGAAACUUUUAAGAGUUGUUGGGUUGGAGUAAAAAAUUAAUAAAGUGGUUUAGAUGAUUUGACACUAUGGGGAAUUAUAAAAAGUAAUAUAAAAUAAAGUGUAGACACUUUAGUGAAUGUGAUAGAUAAAGAUACUCUUAGUUAUUAGUUCUUAGCACUAUUUAUGUGGGCCCGUACUGUCACAUGUGCUUAAGCAACUCUUUGCAAAGUUUGCUCUAACCUAGAUUGUUAGUUCUUAGCCCUAUUCAUCCGGUCUCACAAUACCAUUAUAUUAAUAUUUUUUAUUUCCAUAUAAUUUUGAUUUAAAUUUAAAUUCUUAGUCAAUACUUAAAUUAAAUUAAGGAGAUAAAAUAUUAAUUUUUAAUGCUAAGAAUUCAAAAAGUAAAACAUCUUAUAUAAGAACUAGUUCUUAUUUUUAAGAACUAAGAACUCCAUGUCAUCCCCUCAAGUGGUUAAGAACUCAGUUUUUAGUUCUUAACUAAAAAAUAAGAACUAAAAAUCUUGCAUUUAAGAUGCUCUUAGAACUCACCUUUUAGAACUUCACAUCAAUCAUCUUCAAUGCUUAAAAACAUAGUUUUUAGUUCUUAAUUUAAUUUAAUAACUCACGUUUAAAAACUAGCAAUGAGAUGCUCUAAGCAUCUACGUAAUAUGCUUUUGAAUUAUUUUAAGUUGAUGAUGUGAACACUUACUUUUAUUUUAAGAUGUGAACACUAUUUAAAUGGGCGAUUUUUCUGCCUGGUCAAAUGCCUCUCUGUCUUUGGAAAAAUCCAGAAAUAUAAUUUCCUCUUUAUAAGUGCCCUCAGAUCCAUCCUUCUAACCAUUCAUUCCUCUUCCAUUUUUUUACUCUGCACUGCACUAAACAAUCAUGUCAACAAUCAAAGUUCAUGGAAGCCCCAUCUCAAAUGCAACCAUGCGAGCCCUUGUUGCCCUGUAUGAGAAACAGCUUGAAUUUGAGUUUGUUCCCACUGACAUGCGCAACGGUGAACACAAAAAGGAACCCUUCCUUUCGCUCAAUGUAAGCAACCAUCAAUUCAUCACCAAAUAAAUCAUUUUUUCUUCAAUCCACCUUCAACUAAUUAAUUUCCAAUUUUAUCUUCCCCUGCAGCCUUUUGGUCAAGUUCCAGCGCUUGAAGAUGGAGAUUUGAAGCUCUUCGGUAAGAUUUGCAUAUAUAUAUAUAUAUAUAUAUAUAUCAUGCCAAACCUUUACAGACACAUUCAUACAAAGUACAAAAAGUUAAGGUACCAAAUUAAGACAUGAUUAAUAUAGUAUAAGAGUAUAUCCUAUAUCCGUCCGUUUGUUACUGGAGACCUGUUAGAAGUCCCACAUUGAUUAGAGGUAGAGCAUAGAUAGCCUUUAUAAGUGUAGUGCUGACCUUUAUAGAUGUCUAAGUCGAUAGUCAUUUAUAAGAUCUAACUCUAAGUAUGUAUGGUUAAGUCUUAACUAAGUCUGGUUAAUAACCCUAUAACACUAAUUCUGCAUCUUAUAUCAUCAUAUCUCAUUCCGUUCUGCAAUAAUAUUUGAGAAUCACCAUCAAUAUGGGUCGGAGAUACUCAUUUUUCUCGAGAGAGAAGGUGGCUGCUAUUGAAACAAAUAAAUUCAUUAUUGUCACAUGUAUUGGUACUAACAAUAACAUGUGCAUCUUUCAUCAAUUCUCCCCAGAGGCCACAAUUAUUGCUAGAAAAUAAACAUGUUUAUGACAAGAACACAUCUUAGCUAUAACCUAAUUUCUGAGUAGAGUUAAAGGCCUCUCUUGCAAUGUUUAUUUGAGUUUAUCUUAUAGCACAAACGCUUAUGUACGUGUUUGGAAAAUUUAUGUAAGUAGCGUAUCAUCUAGAUAUAAGUUGUUUUUAGUUUAUUUCCAUACCAUGUUGAAAUUCACUUAUGAGUGAGAGCUUAAACAUUUUUAUAAAUCGUCUUAUGUGAUUAGCUCUUAUUGCCAUAACUACUUAAUUAAAGCUUAUCUUUGAUCUACUUGCUGGACCACAUGUAAAUAUUUGGCCAACUUCACUGCCUAGUAAUGUGUGUUAAGAUUCUCAUUAACUAGAUAUAUGAUCCAAAUAGUCCAGUAGAACAGUUCUCUCCUGUAAAUUGAAAUAAGAGAUGCUGAAUGGAACACUGAGCUAACAAUUUGUUCUGCAGAAUCAAGGGCCAUAACAAAAUACAUAGCUUACGAGUAUGCUGAUAAGGGAACAGAGCUGCUAAGCAAAGACUCCAAGAAGAUGGCGGUAACCACGGUGUGGCUAGAAGUCGAGGCCCAUCAUUUCGAUCAUUGGGAUGACUACGGAUCCUGCAGUUGUGGAAGAGAAUGAAGCCAAGCUGGCUGGUGUUCUUGAUGUCUAUGAGAAAAGAUUGUCUGGGUCCAAAUACUUAGCAGCUGAAUGCUUCACCUUGGCAGAUCUGCAUCACAUUCCUAACAUUUUCUACUUGAUGAACACACAGAGCAAGAAGCUGUUUGAAUCAAGGCCUCAUGUGAAUGCUUGGGUGGCUGAUAUCACAGCAAGACCAGCUUGGUCUAAGGUCGUUGCCAUGUUACCUCCUAAGCCAUGAAUAGUGAGGAAGAAGGCCUUUCAGGAUUGAUGGUGUUGUUGGAUGUUCUCUGAGACCUCAAAGAUGGCCAUUUAAGUUCAAGAAGUACUUUUGCUUUUGUGGGUUGUACCAUGAAUGGACUUGUUUUUGUUAAGUCUUAUUUGGUGUUUUUCCUCUCCUAUGAAUAAAAAUGCGUGAUGUUAUUUUAAAACCACUAAUAUAAGAUUAAUUGUCAUAUCGUUUACAUGUAGAAUAAACAUAAAAGAUUAAUCUGAUGACUUUUAUGAGGUCUUCUUUGAGUUCUUUAAGCUCAACGAC